rnacentral:rRNA from 1 species
GACGAACGCUGGCGGCGUGCUUAACACAUGCAAGUCGAACGGAAAGGCCUGCUUUCCCUUGUGGAUUGCGGGUACUCGAGUGGCGAACGGGUGAGUAACACGUGAGUGAUCUGCCCCAACUUGGGUAUAAGCCUGGGAAACUGGGUCUAAUUCCCGAUAGGACUGCAGGGUGGUGCCUGUGGUGGAAAACGAUUUUCUAGUGGUUGGGGAUGAGCUCGCGGCCUAUCAGCUUGUUGGUGGGGUAAUGGCCUACCAAGGCGGCGACGGGUAGCCGGCCUGAGAGGGUGGACGGGCACAUUGGGACUGAGAUACGGCCCAGACUCCUACGGGAGGCAGCAGUGGGGAAUAUUGCACAAUGGGCGGAAGCCUGAUGCAGCGACGCCGCGUGGGGGAUGACGGCCUUCGGGUGGUAAACUCCUUUCGACCGCGAGGAAGCCACCUGGUUGGAAGGGUGGUGACGGUAGUGGUAGAAGAAGCACCGGCUAACUACGUG